rnacentral:lncRNA from 1 species
ACAAGUUGCUGGGAAAGUAUUUACUUACUUCCUGAAACACUGAACCACUUCAUCAGGAAAAAGAGAUGUGAACUGACUCCUCAGUGAUUACAGUUUGGUCCUGUUUCUUGUUUAUGUAGCAGAAGUUUCUCUGUUUUUGACAUGAGGAUGGAACCUAUUUUUCAGAAAUGAUGCAGAUAUCCCCAUAUUUGUAAUAUUUUAAAAUCAUUUUUUUUGUUGUUGUUGGGUAGGGGGAGAUUGUGGGUAAGUUUGGAGAUCGGUGUUCAUGUGGCUAUCUUUCUUAGAAGAAACUUCCUUUUGUUUUGAUGGUGAAUUGUAGGAGUGGCAGGUGCUUGGAAGUUUAAACAAUUUAACAAAAUUUUGACAUAAUUUCAGACUUACAACACUUCCAUCUUUCCUUGUCUUCAUUGACUGUGACAUUUUUACUGAGCACAGGCCAGCUAUUUUACAAGGAAGAGGUUUUCCUUUUCCUGAGUUGUAUCCCUGUGGAUUCAUGGAUUCUUGUUUUAGUCUGUUGGUUCUCAUCUGUUACUAUUCUUUAUUUUGAUGUUCUGGUUUGUCCAGAUUUCGCCGAUGAGAGCUUCUUCAAUUGGAUUUCUUUGUCCAUUAUGAUCUUUUUAUUUU